CGGGCUUUAGCUCAGUGGCUUAGAGCACUCGGCUGUAGUCGAUAGACGCCCUUGUGAGCAAUGAUCAAGGUGUCAGCCGGUGGAGACCGAGCGGUCCCGUGUUCAAAUCACGGAAGCCCGA
rnacentral:tRNA from 1 species